rnacentral:rRNA from 1 species
UACGUAGGGGGCAAGCGUUGUCCGGAAUCAUUGGGCGUAAAGAGCGCGUAGGCGGAUGUGUCAGUCAGGGGUGAAAUCCCGGAGCUCAACUUCGGAACUGCCUUUGAUACAGCACGUCUUGAGUCCGGAAGAGGUGGGUGGAAUUCCUAGUGUAGAGGUGAAAUUCGUAGAUAUUAGGAAGAACACCGGUGGCGAAGGCGGCCCACUGGUCCGGUACUGACGCUGAGGUGCGAAAGCGUGGGGAGCAAACAGG